CAAUAGCGUAUAUUAAAGUUGUUGCAGUUAAAAAGCUCGUAGUUGGAUUUCGGGGCAGCCUGGCUGGUCCGCCGCAAGGCGAGUACUGGUCAGCCGCCCUUCCUCUCGAAAGCCCCGACUGCUCUUUAUUGCAGUGGUCGGGUAGUUCGGGACGUUUACUUUGAAAAAAUUAGAGUGUUCAAGGCAGGCCUACGCCUGAAUACAUUAGCAUGGAAUAAUGGAAGAGGACCUCGGUCCUAUUUUGUUGGUUUCCAGGACCGAAGUAAUGAUUAAGAGGGACAGUUGGGGGCAUUCGUAGUUAAUUGUCAGAGGUGAAAUUCUCGGAUUUAUGAAAGACGAACAACUGCGAAAGCAUUUGCCAAGGAUGUUUUCAUUAA
rnacentral:rRNA from 1 species